UACGAGGGGGGCAAGCGUUGUUCGGAAUCACUGGGCGUAAAGGGCGCGUAGGUGGCGCGGGAAGUCAACGGUGAAAGUUCGGGGCUCAACCCUGAAUCGGCCGUCGAUACUCCCGGGCUCGAGCACUGUAGAGGCAGAUGGAAUUCCGGGUGUAGCGGUGGAAUGCGUAGAGAUCGGGAGGAACAUCAGUUGCGAAGGCGGCUCUCUGGACCAGCACUGACACUGAGGCACGAAAGCCAGGGGAGCAAACGGG
rnacentral:rRNA from 1 species